GCCGUGCAUGGUGGCUCAUGCCUGUAAUCCCAGCAAUUCAGGAAGCUGAGGCAGGAGGAUUGCAAGUUCAAAGCCAGACUGAGCAUUUAGUGAGAUCCUGUCUCAA
rnacentral:sRNA from 1 species